rnacentral:rRNA from 1 species
AUGGCCGAAUGCUUCAAUAGGGUGCUCAAAGGUGCACGUGGAUUACCCGUGACGGCAAUAGUUCAAUACACAUUUGACAAGAUGAAUGCGUACUUUCUAAAGUACUCAAUGAAAACUGAUGCACAGAUAGCGGGUGAGAACCCGCGCAAGUACAAGUACAAGUUCCCACCCAAGGUUGACGAAUGGUUAGAAUUUCAAUCACGAAAGGCAGACUCAAAAGAAGCUAUAUUAUAUGACAACGAAGAGUGGAAGUAUGAAGUGAAAGAGCCAGGAGGAACCACAAACGAUGGCCGGCAACAUGGAGGUCGGGCUUUCAAGGUGUCGUUAACACAAUGUGAUUGCUCUUGCGGGAGGCAUUUGCUUCAUCUCCCAUGCUCACAUUUGUAUACCGCCGGUCGCGUUAGAAAUGUGGACAUCAAUCACCCACGCACCGUGAGGGAGUUGGAGUUCUCAAUCAUGACGGUCAAGAAAACAUGGGCUCCCCGCUUUCACCCAUACUUUGACCAAUCACAAUGGCCGGAGUACCAUGGAGUUCAACUAUGCCCGGAUCCG